rnacentral:rRNA from 1 species
UACGGUUGAAAGCUUUAGCGUCUGAGGAUGGGUCUGCGGCCGAUUAGGUAGUUGCUGGGGUAACGUCCCAACAAGCCGAUAAUCGGUACGGGUUGUGAGAGCAAGAGCCCGGAGAUGGAUUCUGAGACACGAAUCCAGGUCCUACGGGGCGCAGCAGGCGCGAAAACUUUACACUGCGCGAAAGCGCGAUAAGGGGACCUCGAGUGCGUGCGCAAAGCGUACGCUUUUCAGAUGCCUAAAAAGCAUCUGGAAUAAGGGCCGGGCAAGACCGGUGCCAGCCGCCGCGGUAACACCGGCGGCUCAAGUGGUGGCCGCUAUUAUUGGGCUUAAAGGGUCCGUAGCCGGACCAGUUAGUCCCUUGGGAAAUCUUACGGCUUAACCGUAAGGCUGCCAAUGGAUACUGCUGGUCUUGGGACCGGGAGAGGCAAGAGGUACCUCAGGGGUAGGAGUGAAAUCCUGUAAUCCUUGAGGGACCGCCAGUGGCGAAGGCGUCUUGCUAGAACGGGUCCGACGGUGAGGGACGAAAGCUAGGGGCACGAACCGGAUUAGAUACCCGGGUAGUCCUAGCCGUAAACGAUGCGAGCUAGGUGUCACGUGGAUUGCGAAUCCAUGUGGUGCCGAAGGGAAACCGUGAAGCUCGCCGCCUGGGAAGUACGGCCGCAAGGCUGAAACUUAAAGGAAUUGGCGGGGGAGCAC